GCAACUUGUUCAUCGGCCUUGGGCUUGUUAUUAAAAUCUUCCAAUUCACUGUCAUGGCGAGCAGCUCGAAUUGAUCGUGCAGACUCAGUUAGGAGCUAGGUCAUUAGCUGUCUUAUAAAUCUUGACAAUUCAAACAGAACACUCUUGAUUGAUUUGAUGGUGAUUUAAGGUUUUCUAGCAAGAACAAGACAACAGUCAUCACACGCCUUUGAAGCCAUGGAUAGAUUUUGU
rnacentral:misc_RNA from 1 species